UUCAAACGAAUAAAGAUACUUUGGAAUUUGUGGGGAUUGAUAGAAAUUAAACUGGCAAUACUGUAUCGUUGACUUGCACUGCAGAGUGCCUACCGCGAACCACAUUCGACGUGUUGCCUCCCUGUCACAUUUACGUGCGAAGUUACAAGUGCGACAGAGAGGCAACACGUCAAUGGUGGUUCGCGGUAGGCCCUCUCCUCUGUUUCGGAACGGAACAUACUGUGUCUGUGGGAUAACGACAACAAGGCACACUGAACGGACAAAGAAACACAAAAAACAUGGCUCCUACCCGGCGCUGUCAAUACAUAAAUUGCCUUAAUACAAGCGGAACUCAUUCAUUAUUCCGUUUUCCAGUAAAGGAUACAAAUUGUCUACGAACAUGGAUAAACAAUUCAGGAACUGCAGUUGAAGUGACACCUGAUACAUCACCACAAAAAUUAAAGGUUGACCCCAAGAAAUGUGUAUGGAAAACGAGCGUUGCAAGUAUUACACGAUCAAGAAGCGGGAAGCUCAUCAACUUCGUCAAAAUUUGAACAUGCAUUUGCAUGGAGGAGUGCCGUAAGAGAAAAAGAUUACUUCACGUGUAAAAUUAGCUACACAAAUAUUUUCCCAUUCAGUUGGCGCAGCGAUCAACACAGCAAUACAAACAGGAGAACUGUCAAGCCCUACUGCUGCGAACACAGCUCAGUUUAUUGUUCAGAUAAACAACUUGUUUGACGCUCUCAACACCAAAACUAAAUUUGACAAGAAUCCAAAGAAAUGUGGAUUAACAAAAGAUAACGCUGCGAGGCAAGCAUUAGAAAGUGGUCUCAGAAUUCUACAAGACUUAAAAAAAAAUGUUAAAGGAAAUCUAAAAAAGAACACUACGCCUCCUUGUUUCGAGGGCUUACAGCAAAGCAUUAAUGGCAUAAUACUAUUGUACACAGAAGAAAACACCGAAGGUGUACAGUACUUGUUAACAAACAGGUUAAAUCAGGAUGUGUUAGAAAAUUUAUUUUCAACAUAUAGACUAAAGGGCGGGAACAAUAAAAAUCCAAGCGCUCGAAUGUUAAGGUCAGUCUUUCGUAGCUAUUUAACUGAAAUGCUAGUACGGCUACCGGGUCAUCAAAACUGCGAGCAUACAGAUGUAUCAAAUUGUGACCUAUCUGACAAUAGACAGAACCUCACCAAGGAGCCGGAGCCCGAGCCUCAGUUCGGAUUCCGAGGAUACACCCGAGCCUACAGCAAGUGUUGUGCCCCGCAGCACGGCCCUACAGCAAGUGGAGAAGGCUCCGACGCCCUGCACAAUGCACAUCUCGCACAGCCGCCCGCGCCGAUAGCACAGGGACUCCGACUCUCGAACAAUGCUCUGUCACUUAUUUCGCAGGAUAUAUAUAGCAAACAAAUGUUUCAACAACUUUAAAUGUAACAAAUGCUUGAAGUCGAUGACUAAAAAUGUCGAUUUAAGUGAUAAAAAAACAAAUAUUUAUACUAGAGAAAACCUAUGGGCUCGCUGAAAACAACAUUAAAAUGCCCAAGUGUCAAUUUUUACCAAGUCAUUGACGUUUGUCUAACAAAUUAUGAGGACCAAUUUAAUAUUAUAAAACAUAAAUUAAAUGUAUUAAAAAACAUGACUAAUCAUUUAAUAUGUAUUUUAAAAAUAGAUCACGCUACCGCAUAUAAUAUAUAUUAUACUGUACAGAGCAUUUGAAAUACAGUGUAGAAAAAUUAAUUGAAACAAAAAUCAAUUAUUACUGCAAAUCACAAAAAAGAAACAGGAUUCAAAAUCAACAAAAGCUUAGGUUGUUACAAAAUAAAUGAAAUAAGUAGUUGUCA